GAGAGUUUGAUCCUGGCUCAGAUUGAACGCUGGCGGCAGGCCUAACACAUGCAAGUCGAGCGGUAGCACAGAGAGCUUGCUCUCGGGUGACGAGCGGCGGACGGGUGAGUAAUGUCUGGGAAACUGCCUGAUGGAGGGGGAUAACUACUGGAAACGGUAGCUAAUACCGCAUAACGUCGCAAGACCAAAGUGGGGGACCUUCGGGCCUCAUGCCAUCAGAUGUGCCCAGAUGGGAUUAGCUAGUAGGUGGGGUAAUGGCUCACCUAGGCGACGAUCCCUAGCUGGUCUGAGAGGAUGACCAGCCACACUGGAACUGAGACACGGUCCAGACUCCUACGGGAGGCAGCAGUGGGGAAUAUUGCACAAUGGGCGCAAGCCUGAUGCAGCCAUGCCGCGUGUAUGAAGAAGGCCUUCGGGUUGUAAAGUACUUUCAGCGAGGAGGAAGGCGUUAAGGUUAAUAACCUUAGCGAUUGACGUUACUCGCAGAAGAAGCACCGGCUAACUCCGUGCCAGCAGCCGCGGUAAUACGGAGGGUGCAAGCGUUAAUCGGAAUUACUGGGCGUAAAGCGCACGCAGGCGGUCUGUCAAGUCGGAUGUGAAAUCCCCGGGCUCAACCUGGGAACUGCAUUCGAAACUGGCAGGCUAGAGUCUUGUAGAGGGGGGUAGAAUUCCAGGUGUAGCGGUGAAAUGCGUAGAGAUCUGGAGGAAUACCGGUGGCGAAGGCGGCCCCCUGGACAAAGACUGACGCUCAGGUGCGAAAGCGUGGGGAGCAAACAGGAUUAGAUACCCUGGUAGUCCACGCCGUAACGAUGUCGACUUGGAGGUUGUGCCCUUGAGGCGUGGCUUCCGGAGCUAACGCGUUAAGUCGACCGCCUGGGGAGUACGGCCGCAAGGUUAAACUCAAAUGAAUUGACGGGGGCCCGCACAAGCGGUGGAGCAUGUGGUUUAAUUCGAUGCAACGCGAAGAACCUUACCUACUCUUGACAUCCAGAGAACUUAGCAGAGAUGCUUUGGUGCCUUCGGGAACUCUGAGACAGGUGCUGCAUGGCUGUCGUCAGCUCGUGUUGUGAAAUGUUGGGUUAAGUCCCGCAACGAGCGCAACCCUUAUCCUUUGUUGCCAGCGGUUAGGCCGGGAACUCAAAGGAGACUGCCAGUGAUAAACUGGAGGAAGGUGGGGAUGACGUCAAGUCAUCAUGGCCCUUACGAGUAGGGCUACACACGUGCUACAAUGGCAUAUACAAAGAGAAGCGACCUCGCGAGAGCAAGCGGACCUCAUAAAGUAUGUCGUAGUCCGGAUUGGAGUCUGCAACUCGACUCCAUGAAGUCGGAAUCGCUAGUAAUCGUAGAUCAGAAUGCUACGGUGAAUACGUUCCCGGGCCUUGUACACACCGCCCGUCACACCAUGGGAGUGGGUUGCAAAAGAAGUAGGUAGCUUAACCUUCGGGAGGGCGCUUACCACUUUGUGAUUCAUGACUGGGGUGAAGUCGUAACAAGGUAGCCG
rnacentral:rRNA from 1 species